rnacentral:lncRNA from 1 species
CCAGGCUGCAAUCUUAAAAAUUAAGAGAGAGGGAUAGGCUGCGGUGCAACUCUGGUUGGUUGGUUGGUUUUGAUUUUUUUUCUCCCACUUUUUUUAAGCUGCGAUCUUAGAAUUUCAGCGCUGUUGAAAGUAUUUCCCCAUACCAGUGCUUGCAUCUGGAAACCGAGUGGUGUUUUACUCCCACUGUUUAAAAAGCCCACAUGCACUCAUCCAUAGUUCUCAUUCCCAUCACACUACCACUGAGAGCGCACAGAGGCCAACCUUGUGUCAAGCGCUGUCUCUGCAUUAUUACAUAAGAAUCUUACAGCAAACUGAUGUGUUCUGUAAUGUAAUUAUCCCCAUUCUGCAGGCGGGAAGCUGAGUCUUAGAGAGGGAAAAAAAAUCUGGAAAGCAGAAUUAGUGAAUCAGAGGGUCUUUGGAAGGUUAUCCAGGUUCAAAGAAGAGAAGUCUGCUGACCAGACUAUAGAGUUUUGCCAAUCUGAUGGAAAAAUAAUUGGUAUCUGUGGAAGUCAUUUGGUUUCCCCAAACAUUUCCAGUCAUCCCUCCUUCCAAGCAAAUGGUGGGAGGAGCUGCACUUCCUGGUCCCUCGUGGUUGUGUGAGUUCCGGUGCCGUGUACUGAGCAAUGAGUUGUGAAGAGAUGUGUGCCAUUUCCAGGCUGGAGUAAUUAAUCGCUGAUGCAAACACCUCCAUGGCUCUCUGGAAAAGAGACCUACAAUAUUCAGGAAGUGACCAGUGUGUAACUCUGGGAACAUAAGUGAGUAUGAUGAACAGAGCCUCCCACUUGACCUACAGUGGACAUUUAGUGUGAGUGAGAAGUAAAAUUUUGUUGGUAUAAGAUUCUUGGAUGUUGGUGUAACAAUAUAACAUAACCUAUCGUGGUGUAUAAAGUAUCUCAUUUUUGUUGUAAUUUGCAUUUUCCUGCUUACUUAGUGAGGCUAAAUAUCUUUUGAUAUUUUGUUUGCCAUUUUUUAUUCUUUCAUAAAAUACUCAUUUACUGGCUUUUGUCCAUUUUUCAAUUGGUUUCUUUAUCUUUCGCUU